ACGGUUUUCACUUGUUUUUUUGUUUGAGAAAGUACUGGUAUUUUUCCAAAUAUUAUGUGACUCGGUAGUUUAAUUAUUUGUUGUGUCAGUCCUUGAAGUUCAGGCAGGUUGUGCCUUUAAAGCCCCCUGACUUGCAUUUGCAUUACAUUGAUCUGGAAAACGAUAACUCAUAAAAACACCUUGAGUGGACUUGCAGUGGAUGAACAGCCAGCAGCAACACGGCAUCGUUCUUUUGUUGCUAUUCUUUGGCAUGCUGGUGGCAGUAAUAACUUGUGUGAUGAAGAGGAGGAGUUGCAAGCUGUUGGAUCUUCCACAAGGCAGCCUGGAGGAGAGGCUGCAGAGGGACAACGCUCUUCUCCAGAAAUGCUGGAGAAGCCAGCGAGCCAAGAGAGCCAGCAGACGUGUGGCGAGCGGGGGCCGACGGAGGCCUACAGGAUCACUGGGAAGCUGGCGGUUGAAUAACGGCCAGAAAAACCUCCUUCUUUUUGUUAUUUCCUUCUAAAAUGUUUGUGACUAGUUCAUAUACAAUGGGGUGUAAUGAUGUAAUGACUUAUGAGACAAUAAAAGACUUGUAACUUGGUAACACGCA